rfam:Dichanthelium oligosanthes cultivar Kellogg 1175 unplaced genomic scaffold Do_version_2_scaffold4280, whole genome shotgun sequence.
AGCUGCGCGGUGGGCACAGAGCGAACUGUUUUUUCGCCUUUUACUAAAGAAUACCGUGCGUGCGCCGCAAAUAGCAGCAUACCCCUAUUUUUGGAGGGUGCUUUUCCUUUCUGGGAGGGC